rnacentral:lncRNA from 1 species
UCUGAUCCAAAUUACUUACAAAAUAGAACCAGAGUAGAUGCAAAAAUUUCAUUUUCUCUCUCCAACUUUACCCUCCCUCUCUCAUACGAUACCGGUAGCAGAUGGAAGAGCUAAGGUAAAGGCCAAUGGAAGGUCUCCAUAGUAAACGGAUCAUAAGGUAAAGCUCCAUAACUUUAUUGAGUUUGCAAUUUCUGUUUGUCCCGUUAAAAAUCUAGGGUUUGUUCUUUACUUUCUGACCCUUAAAAAGUGUCUCAUCUUCGUCGCUGGGAGAGUCAGUGGCGUCGGCGUCGAUAACAGAUAUUCGUACAACUCGUGGCCCGCCGAUAUUCAGUUCGGUCAUCUUCGUCUUCUUUCCGGAGAUACCUUCAGUCGUCGUAGUUUGUAUUUUGUGCUCACUAUACUUGACCGCAGAAUACAUAGCUCCUCUUUUCAUUUGCUCUUAAUUUCCUAAAGAUUAAUUUAUGAGAUUGGCUUUGAAAGCUAAAAGGAGAGACUAGAAAUUUUGGGUGUGUAAAAAAGAGGAGAUUUCUUGGCCUCGUGGAAGAAUGAAGAGAGGGAAAAUCUUAAGAAAUUAUAAAUUGUAAUUGGCUAAAUUGUAGUGUAUUAAUUGGGUAAAAAUCUAGGGUUUGUACCCUACUGCCAUUUUACCCAAUAGAUUGCAGAAGAUGACAUGUAUGGUAAGGAGAUAUCCAGUACUUGUAGAUAAUUGAUAAGAAAAUGGGUAGUUGCUUAAGCAGUACUUAUGUAACGAAUCAUAUGCUUUCAUUAAAUUAAGGCACAUUGUAGUGUGCAGACCAGACCACACAUUGUCUGUCAGGAUUGCAUUCACAGCAUCGGUUGGAUGAAAUUGAUCCCACCAGAUAUGAUUGGAAGCAUUACUACAAGCCAUUUCAGGCGUCAUGCACAUGAUUAAACCCUUAUACCUACCUAAACCACAGCAAGCGGAUAGUGGGAGAGAUGGCAGAGGAAGGGGUAGAAAUGAGGAUAGUGGUCUUUCUAGGAAUCAUGAUUAUGGCAGGUUAUGAUGGGAUAAUAUUGUUUGCUCAUUGUUUUUGCUUUGAUUGUUGACAUUUUCUCAAUGAUUUGAAGGAAAUGAAUAUUUUAGGCUAAUAGGAUAUUAAUUGUACAAAUUAGCUGUAAGCUUAUGCAUAUUUUUUUUGAGAGAAAAUCCAAACUAUGUGAUGUAAAAUGAUGUUGUACAGUAGUUUACUUUAGCUGGUGAGGCUUAUAUCCAGCAUGUGAUAUAUUCUUCUUUUUCAAUUAGUUAUCAAAAACUUGUAUUAUGCUUAUUUUCCAAUGGGUUAAGUUCAGAUGACCACCUGGGGUUUGGGCGGUUUUCCACUUUAACCACCUGUAGUCAGUAAAGUUACAUUUAAACACCCGACCUUUUGAGUUGAAAUGAAAAAGUCAUAUUUUCCGUCCAACUUAACCGUGCGUGUAUGUCAGACGCUAAAAAACGCGUGAGAAAGAAUUAUAACAGUCCAAAAAGAUAGCUAAAUGUCCAAAAUACCCUUCAUCUUCCUCAAACUACAUUCCUCUCUCUUAUUUCUCACUCUGCGUCUGAUUUUCCCUCUUCUUCUCCUUCUUUAAUCACUGGAACUCGGCUUCGGCCAUAAAGAAAAAAUGGCUUCCUCUUUAUCUACUAUUUCUUCUUCUUCUUUAAUCUACUGCUGAUUCUGUUUCAAAAGAAGAAGAAAUCCCAAAACCAAAAAACCCAGUUGAAGAAAUCCCAAAACAAGAAAACCCAGAUGAAAAAAUCCCAAAACAAGAAAACCUAAAGGAAAACAUCCCAAAACCAGAAAAUUUUCACCAUCAGACUCUGAGCCGAAGAAAUCUUCAGAAUUGUGACUUGCUCUCCUCCCAAAAUCCCUUCUAGAACCCCCUUUAUUCCCUUUUAUUCUGCCUGGAUCAAAAAUUUUCAUCGUCUUCAGAGCCAGAACUGGGCCCAAUGUCUUCAUCUGAGCCAUAAGUAAUCGAAUGCUCAUAAAUCAAGAUCGAUUGCUCGUCUUUGCUGCCCUAAUUGUUACUGCUGUAUGUUCUUAACUUCCUUCUGUACUCGCUCUCGGCGCUGUCAAGUUUAUUGAUUGAUCUCUUAAUAUAACUAAUUUGGUAGGAGCAAUUUCGAAUUAAGCUCAAAAUAAAUUUAAAUAAAACUUUCUAAUUGCUAUUUAAUCAAGAAAAUGUUACUGCUUUUUUAGAACCUAUGGAGUAUAACGUGACUUGGUAUCCUGAUUUUUGUAUUGGGUCUUUUUGAGGAUAUUCGAAAGAUUUUUGUACUGGGUCUUUUUGUAUUGGAUCUCCAUUCCACAUGUAUCACUUCAGGAAUAUGCAGGUUAAAAUCUUGUAUGGCCAAACUUUCCUUUCGUCUCUCUAGUGAUCUAGCUAGUGCAUCCCAGAUCAACAGAUCAAUUUGGGAAUAAACCAUAAACCAGAAAAUCCUCUCUGUUUUGGAUGAAACAGAAUCAGGAAGGGUGGAUUUGGGCCUAAUUUCUUUAUUGUUUAUGUAAUUUGAGUGUUAUACGUGGAUGGAUGUGGGAAUUCUAUGCUUGAUUCAAAUUCAUAUGCUUGAUUAUUUUGUGUACUUUAAAAGACGAAAUUGAAUUUAAAAGGCAUGUGCAAUGUUCUUAUCCUACUUCUGAAUGUUCUUCUCUAUAUUCUUCCAUCAUUUCUUUUAGCUCGAAUUGGAUCAAGCGUAGAGAGAGGAUGUAGGUGGAGAGAGAAAAUGUGCUUAUAGAUUUCUAUGAGUGCAGUAAAAUUGCUCAAUUGCUCGUAGAGUAGAUACUGUAUUGGAUUAUUUUUUUUGGUUGAGAUUAAAACAGAGCAGAGCUUUGUAUUCUCUGCUCCCUUGCCUGUAAACAUGGAGGAUAAUUAAGUCUUUAACCAAAUCAAGUAACAGAGUCAAGACAGAAAUCAUUUUUUCACUUCAAUUCAAAAGGUCGGGUGUUUAAAUGUAGCUUUACUGACUACAGGUGGUUAAGUGGGAAACCGUCUAAACCCCAGGUGAUCAUCUAAACUUAACCUUUUCCAAUUGUCCGAGCAUGACUAUUGUUGUUUUGGAUAUUCUUUUUAAAAGUUCACUUUUCCAAUUGGGAUUGCUAUUUUAUCUCUAUUUCAGCCAUAGAAGCAGGUGGAGUUGUAUCUUGAGAUGCUGGCGCAGUACUGUUAAUCACAAAAAUAUUAUAGUGAACUUGUUUAGUUGUUUUUCUGGACCACCUGUAUAAAUCUUUCGAACUAAACAAUAUUCAUUACAACUUGGCUUCUGUCCAUAUCUCCGCGGUUCAUUAUGAAUACUUUUAUGAUAUGACACAUUCAACUUUGUUUAAUAGCAUAACCAUUAAUACUAUGAAAAGCCACUAUUCAAGUACGUAAUUUCCUUACACAACUAGAAAUUCAAACUUAAAGAUUGACACGAAAGACAUCCUUACACAACUAAAAAUCCAAAAUUAAAGAUUGAC